GGAAACAGUGCAGGACGGAAUCUUCAAAGGUGGACUUCGCAAACCCGGCUCCGGGCACAUGUCAUGGGGGUUAACAGUUACCAAUAUCGUCCAACCAGGGUAGUUUGGAAUACCAGACAGCGUCGUUGGCUCCCCCUGUGACGGUGGUGCAACUCCUCGAUGGUGUUGGAGUCAGCAGCAGUUGUAGGUUGCAUAAAAAUGAGAGAAAAGCAUUUAGUAUACUGAUAUCCUGGAGCAGAGGGAUAACAGGGUGUACGGUGGAAUUUCGGAAGAAACGGUGUUCUGGGAUACCA